rnacentral:lncRNA from 1 species
AAAAUCUGUUGAUCUGCAAGUUGAAUACAUGUUUGUCUGCAUACUUGAAUGUUACUAUACAUUAUUUUUUUUCUAUCUGUACUUCAGGUUGUAGGAAAUGUUACAAGCAAAUCUCAUGAUGAGCAGCAUUUGAGAAUGAUUUAUCAAAGAUAGAGUGCUUCGAUGAAACCAAAAAUGAUGGCAAGAUAGCUAUCUUAUUGAUCAGAAUAUAUACAGAGGAGUCAGAGCCAUGAUAUUAAUGAAAUUGAUCAUCAUCAAUCAGGGGU